rnacentral:rRNA from 1 species
AUGACCGGAAUAAUGGUGAGCGCUUCUACAGGCGCAAUGAACUCCCUUCUGGGUAAGCUGACCACCCUCAUGGGGGAACAGUUUGCCAAGAUGAAGAAUCUGCGAAAAGAGGUGAAGUACAUCCGUGAUGAGCUUGGCAGUAUGAAGGAUGCUCUCGGGAGACUUGCAGAUGUGGACGAGCCAGAUGCACAAACCAAGAGUUGGAGAAACACACUGCGAGAGUUGUCUUAUGACAUCGAGGACAUCAUUGAUGACUUCAUCCAAAACAUUGGGGAGAAAGACAAGAAAUCCGGGUUUGUCCGCAAGACGAUUCGACGUCUCAAAACUUCAAGGGCCCGCCACAGGAUUGCUGGACAGAUUGAAGAGAUCAAGAAACUUGUGCAUGAGACUAGUGAUCGCCACAGAAGAUAUGACCUUGAUAAGAUUAUCCCCCAAUCAAGUAAUGUUGUUGCCAUUGACCCACGAGUUAAAACACUCUAUGAAAAGGCGGCUAACCUUGUUGGCAUGGAGGGGCCAAAGAAUGAGCUUGUAGAUUGGCUAAUUGAUGAGGAGAAGCAGCUUAAGGUGGUAUCAGUUGUGGGGUUUGGAGGUCUAGGCAAAACAACACUUGCCAAUGACGUAUACCGUAAACUAAAGGGUGAUUUUGCCUUUGGUGCAUUUGUGCCAGUGUCUCAAAGGCCUGACAUUCCAAAUCUUCUACGAAGUUUACUAUCCCAACUUGGUACACACGCAUCUAUUGACGCUUGCAAUUCAGAUCUUAUUGAUGAACUAAGAGAAUGUCUACAGACUAAGAGGUACUUGAUUAUAAUUGAUGAUCUAUGGGAUGUAUCAGCCUGGGAAUUUAUUAAAUGUGCUUUCCCAGAAAAUGAUCUUGCCAGCAGAGUAAUAGUGACUACAAGAAGUCUUGAAGUUGCUACGGCGUGUUCCUCCCCUCACCAUGAGUACAUUUUACAAAUGAAGCCCCUUAGCAACGAAGACUCAAGAAAGCUAUUUUUUGGCAGGAUAUUUGGCUCGGAGGACGUUUGCCCUAACCACCUCAGAGAUAUUUCAGUUGAAAUUCUGAAAAAAUGUGGUGGCUUGCCUCUUGCAAUUAUUAGCAUAGCAGGCCUUCUAGCUAGUGAAGGUCCCAAAGAAGAGGAGUGGAAACAUGUACGGAGUUCUUUGGGCUCAAUGUCUGGAACAAAACUCACACUGAAUGGAAUGAGGCAAAUCUUAAACCUCAGUUACAAAGAUCUUCCAUCUCAUCUGAAGACUUGCCUGUUAUAUCUUGCUAUGUAUCCGGAGGACUACACGAUAAAGAGGUCCAAUCUGGAACGUCAAUGGUUGGCGGAAGGUUUUAUUAGUAAAGAAAAUGGACAAGAUGUGGAGAAAAAUGCAAGAAACUAUUUCAAUGAGCUUGUCAAUAGGAGCCUUGUUCAACCCGUAGAGUUUGAUUGUGAAGGUGCAGUGACAGAAUGCAAAGUACAUGAUAUGAUGCUGGAUCUUAUCUUGCUUAAAUGUAAAGAAGAGAAUUUUCUCAGUAUAGUGGACGGCUCAGAAGCCAUUACAGAAGAGGAAUAUAAGGUUCGUCGGUUGUCUCUUCGUUUGAAUGGUUCAGAUAAUGGAAUAUUGCUAGGAAAUAUUAGUUUGUCACAGGUUCGGUCCGUUAUGAUCUUUGGAGACUCUGGUGAAAUGCCUCCUCUGUCAAAGUUCAAGUUCCUCCGAGUUCUUUUUGUCAAGAACCACAGUACAAUGGACCUCACUGGAAUGAAUGAACUGUAUCAGCUAAGAUAUGUAAUGAUUGGUUAUCGUUUGCAGCUACCAAGACAGAUUAGAGGGCUCCAGCAAUUAGAAACACUUGAUAUAUACAAUGCCAGUAUUCCAACUGAUAUAUUUCAUCUGCCACACUUGUCGCAUCUGGAUAUUGGAUAUCAAGGUAAGCUGCCUGAUGGGAUCGGAAACAUGAAAUCCCUGAGGUUUCUUAGGGUAUUUCAUUUGAAUUUUGAAACAAACUCACUAGAUAACUACAAGGGCCUUGGAGAGCUUACCAAUAUGAGAAAUCUAUCUCUCUCCGGCAAGUGCGGAGAUGAGGAUGCCGGUGUAAGACGCAUGGAUGUUCUAUGCACUUCUUUGAGAAAACUUUGUAAGCUCGAGUCCCUGUACAUACAUAAUAUGGAAGGAUGCAUGGAUGGUUUGUCUCUUGCUCCCUACAGCCUUCAGCGACUCCAUGGCAGAGCUUUUGAUUGGCGGGGCUGUUGGUUUUCCAGGGUCCCUAACUGGACGAGGCAACUUCAUAACCUCCGUGAGUUGCAAUUCCAAGUUGCCGAGCUGCUUGAUGAUGGUGUUGGUAUUCUUGGGGGGUUGCCCCACCUCGUCGACCUUGGUUUACACGUCCGAAGAUCACCAAAACAAAUGAUUAUCAUCGAUGGAAGAGGAACAUUCCCUGUUCUAAAGCAUUUUGACAUCGGCUUGAGCAGAGCAUCAUACCUGAUCUUCCAAUCUGGGGCGAUGCCCAUGGUCCAGAGGCUGGGGUUAAUUUUCAAGAUGGAUGUACAGAAGCAGAACGGAGCCGGACCAGACGGCAUCGAGCACUUGGCUGCACUGGAAGAGGUGUCUGUGCGUAUCUCGUGCUUCAAGGCUACGGAAUCUCAAAAGAGCUGCGCUGAAUCUGCCAUCAGGAGUAUUGUCGACAGGCAUCCCGACAAUCCUCCGACUCUAGUCCGUUUUUACCAGUGGCAGUUUUUUAUGGGCGACUAA